GGGGCACAAAGGCUAACUGACUAGGUAAAAUUUAUGAAGAUAACAAAUCAUACAAUCAAUCACUCCUGCUUCACCACAAAAGUAAGACAAGAAGGUUGUAUUUCCUUAAACUCUCCAUCAAAACAUCUAACACAAUUGUAAAUCCUAAUAUCCCUGUCUUACAUCCUAUUUCUGAGAUGCCAUGUGAUUCACUGUGAUGUGUGUUCUUCAUUUCUCCAAUGAGUGAUAAUCACAGCCUGUUCAGCUUGCAGGAACUCUUGGUGAUUUUUGGCAAAAGUGUGUUAGCAGUUCUUUCUGUGUUAUCUGUACCAUCUAUCUCUAUGGAGUGGAAAACAUGCUGUUAGGUAGAAGAUAGACAUGAAUAGUGGAGGCAGGAAGAGUAUCCCUAGAAAACAGCCUACAACAUCUUCCUGUUUGUACAGCCUAAUAAUCCCAAACUACAAGCUUCGUAUCCAUCAGAGCCUACACUGCUAUGUAUGAACAAGCAUCUCCAGGCAACAACUGAUAGCUGUUCUCAGUUGUAUCCAACUCAUCCCAAGCACUGCACAUCUGGUGUGAGUUCCCCCAAUAUAAGGUACCAUGUCUGAGUACAAAUGUCACCAUUGUGAGCAAUCCUUGCAAGGUAAAAAGUAUGUGCAGAAGGAUGGAGCCAACUACUGCGUGAUAUGCUUUGAUGCGCAUUGUGCCAACGUCUGUGAGGAGUGCCACAAGCCCAUUGGUGCGGAUUCCAAGGAGGUGUGUUACAAAGAGCGCUACUGGCACAACACCUGCUUCCGGUGUUCCAAGUGCCUUCAACCCUUGGCUACUGAGACCUUUGUGUCCUGGGACAACAAGAUCCUGUGCAACAAGUGUGCCUCUCGGGAGGCCUUCCCCAAGUGCAAAGGGUGCCUCAAGGAUAUUGUGGAAGGAGACCAGAAUGUGGAAUACAAAGGUAUCAUCUGGCACAAAGCCUGCUUUGUCUGCACCAACUGUAAAGAAGUCAUUGGAACCAAAAAUUUCUUCCCUAAAGAUGAGGGAUUCUACUGUGUGUCUUGCUAUGAUGCCUUGUUUACUAAGUAUUGUAUGAAGUGCCACAAGCCCAUCACAUCUGGAGGAGUCAGUUACCAAGAUCAGCCCUGGCAUAAUGAGUGCUUUGUAUGUGUUUCCUGCAAUAAAGAGCUGAGUGGACAGCGUUUCACUGCUAUAGAUGACCAGUAUUUUUGUGUGGAUUGCUACAAGAACUAUAUAGCCAAGAAGUGUGCUGGGUGCAAGAACCCCAUCACCGGAUUUGGUAAAGGCGCCAAUGUUGUGGCCCAUGAGAAAAAUUCCUGGCAUGAUUACUGCUUCAACUGCAAAACCUGUUCUGUAAAUCUGGCCAAUAAGCACUUUGUGUUUCAUGAUGAGCAGGUGUACUGUCCUGACUGUGCCAAGAAGCUAUAACUUGGCAAGGGCUCCUAUCCUGUAAAAUGGCAUUUGAACCAUGCUCUUUGUCCUUAUUGUCUCUGUGCUGCACCAACCAUAGGGGGUGAGUAGGCUCUCACCUCUAUGAAGCUGCUCCUCUGUCUUUUCUGACAUUUUAUAGUAUUAUUCAGCUAAGAACACACAGUGGUUGUAUUAGGAUUCCACAACCUUGCAGCAGAAUUCUCCGUUGUUGCAAUGGAAAAACAAGUUAGAUUGAUUUUACUGCAUGAGAUGAGAAAAGUGCUAACCGUAGAGCCACAUGAUGUAAGUAAGAAACAGGCAAUAAACCUUCCACUGAGAAGUUCCAGAAAAUAAACAUUUUGAACUUA